UUAACUGGAUCGGGCUAUAUCUCACGUGCAGCCCCCGCUCCGCGGCCACCCGAGGUAACCUCCGUCGGUUCGGGCUCUCGUCGCCUACCCUACCCUACCCAAGCGUCACACGCAGACGCCUUCGAACCCUAGUCACCCGCGCCGCCCCUGCGCUCCCCGGCCGCCUCCUGCCCCCGGCGGCGGCUGCGGCCUCGGCGUCAGCGAAGAUGUCGGGCGGCUUCUUCCGGGGGACGUCCGCUGACCAGGACACGCGCUUCUCCAACAAGCAGGCGAAGCUGCUCAAGACACAGAAGUUCGCGCCUGAGCUUGACCACUUGGUGGACAUGUCUAAGGUCAAGAUGGAUGUGAUGAAGCCCUGGAUCGCCAAGCGGGUCACUGAGCUCCUCGGGUUCGAGGAUGAAGUGCUCAUCAACUUCAUCUAUGGCCUCCUCGAAGAGAAGGCGGCAGAUGGGAAGAAGAUUCAGAUCCAGCUAACAGGAUUCAUGGAGAAGAACACAGUAAAGUUCAUGAAGGAGCUCUGGAGCCUCCUCCUAAGUGCGCAACAGAAUGCCAGUGGGGUACCUCAACAGUUUCUAGAUGCAAAGGAGGCUGAAAUACAGCAGAGAAAGGCAGAGGAUGAUAGAAUUGCACAGGAGAUCCAAAAAAAGCGGGAGAAAGAGGGAAGAGACUUAGAACUGGAGAAGCAGAAAAGGAUGGAUGGGGAUGCUGGCAACUCAAGAUCCUCUGGUGAUCUAACUGGCUCUGCUAUAAAUAAUACAACUGUCAAUGUUGAGGAAGACAUGGAAUUGGACUUCAAGCGCAGCUCAAGAACAAAGAACCGGGCAAGUCGCAGAUCCAGGAGCAUAUCUUUGUCGCCUCGUGGUAGGCGAAGAUCUAUUUCUCCCAGAAAGCAUUCUCGAUCUCCUUCCAGGCGUUCCCGCUCAAUUGAUAGACAGCGUGCGUCAUCACGGCGUUCGAUUUCACCUAGACGCUCUGCUUCUCCCCGAAGGCAUUCUCCAAGAAGGAGAUCACCUUAUUCAAGGAGAGGUUCACCUUCAUUGCCAAGGUAUCCAUCCCCAUCUUCACGCCGGAGAUCUCCUCUUCGCAGAAAAUCACCAUCGUCUGGGUCACGAAGGUCACCUUCUCCUCGCCAUCGUCGUUCGCCAGCUCGUGCUCCAAGGAGGUCACCAUCUCCUGCACAUCGAAGGUCUCCUAUCCGACGCAGGUUUUCACCAGGUAGACAUCGAUCUCCAUCUCCAGCAAGGCGUAGGCCAAGAUCCCCAUCUCCGGGAAGGCGCAGGCCACGUUCCCCAUCUCCAGGAAGGCGCAGGCCACGGUCGCCGUCUCCAGGAAGGCGCAGACCACGGUCGCCUUCUCCAGGAAGGCGCAGGCCACGGUCCCCAUCUCCUGGAAGCCACAGGCUACGCUCCCCAUCUCCUGGAAGACGUAGGCCAUGGUCUCAAUCUCCAGUAAAACGUCGGUCCCCAUCUCCAAAACGUCGGAGGAGAUCCCCAUCACCAAGAACUCGUUGUGCAAAUCGGCGUCCAUCUCCACAGCGGAGAAGGAGUAUCAGUCCGUACAGUAGCAAAAGUCCUAAUCGUUCUCGCCGGAGUUUGAGUAUAGAGGCUGAUAAAGGAACAAAUGGCACCCCCUCCAUUAAGGACACAGUUUUGCCUGAAAGGGACCAAGAACGAAGAUCAGAUGAUAAUGACAGGGAUGGUGCAAGGAUUGGCGAUGAUCAUUCCCCAGAUUCUGAACAUAGGUUGUUAAAAUCAUUGAGGUCGCCCAACAAUGAAGAAAGAAACUCCACACGUGAUAGGAGCUCAGGGAAACAAUUACCUAGUCAGGACAGCACAGAUACAAGUGGAGAUGAGGAGGAAGGCAGUCGUGCUAGAGAGAAUGCACGGAAAGCAAAUUCAGCGCGUAGGAAAACAAAGGAUUCAGCAGAUCGGCAACUGAGCAAAGUUGGAGCUGGUGCCUCUAGCCCUGGGGAAAAAUCACCAUUCAUGUUACAGAGUGGCAAGGGUGUCCAGAAGAAACACCUUGAUCAACUGUCAGAAUCAUCAGAAGAUGAGCUUGUUGGUAGAAGAAUGAAGCACAGAACUGAUCCUCCUGAUGAGCGUUCCCCGCCUAGAAUUGAAAAGGAUGACUUGCACUCAAAGGACGGGAGGAAAAGUGAGCGUGCCAUGAUGGGUUCACGUGAUGAAUCUGAUGAUGCUAUCGAGGCAAAGAAAUUUAUUUCUGAAAUCAAUGGGAACUCCCAAUCAGAAGAUGGAAGUCCUGUCAAAAAGCCCAAGAAAAGAACAGAUACUAAAAGCCACAUUGAUUCUGGUAGUUCAGGGUCUGAAGAACCUGACAAACAUAGAUCCCAUUCUGAGAAGCGAAGGCACAAGAAGGCCAACAGGCAUAAGAGGCAAUAUGACGAUAGUUCUGAGUCUGAUACCGAGCCAGAUGGCAAAGAGGCAAAGAGGAGGAGGAAGGAAGAAAAGAGACUGAGAAAAGAAGAAAGACGUCGAAGACGUGAAGAGCGGCAUCGCAGAAGGGCAGAACGCCAUGCCAGCAAACAAAAAAUGAAGCAGACUGAUACUGUUGCACUGCCUUCAGAUUCUGACAAGGAUCGGGAUUCUGGUUCAGAUGUUGAUGUUAGGAAAAGAGGUUCACCUGCUGGCAGAGAAGAGUCUGAUCAGAAGAAACUUGAAAUUGAGCUUCGUGAGAAGGCCCUUGAGUCUCUUAGAGCAAAGAAAGCCAUCAACAACUAGCCUGAGAAAUUUCUUUCGACACAUUUGAGUUUCUAUUUUCAAGUGCUUAUCUAUGGAAGUGUGCUUAUAUGAUGCCUAUUUAAUGUUCUGUAUGUUUAUGUGGCAGUUGAUCUGAGGAUUCCUGAUCUGUUUCCUUGAUGCAGCUGCGUUCAGGCUUUUAGCUGCCAGUUAUCUGAUUAGCACCAUGUGCACAGGCUUUUUAUGUUCCUCAGGAUGAUAUGACCUGCGCCUCAACAAAAACAAGUUGGUAACAUUAUUGAUUGGAAAGUCUGCUAAAGCAUUCCUUCUUUCCAGUUGUUUGGUCAGUGCUGCUUAGUUUCAGGUUUGUGCAGUAGCCAAUAUAUUGCUAUGUUGUGCUCAGGCAAGUAAAUAUUGGAUGCCAUAGCCGCCGCUUUUCCGGAACUAACUUUUAUCCUUAGCUGAAGGGAAAGUGAAAAAAUGAAAGUACCAUAACAAAUUUUUUUAUGCUUGGAAUAUGAAACCACCAAACCAGCUGAUGAUUUAAGUUACAAACAGUAUCUGCAGAAACCAUGUUCCACAUAGGAUGAAGUGGAAUAGUCCAUAGCAUCAGAGGAAUUUAAUGGCCUACAUGUUUAGUUCACUAACUUAGGCUAUUACUUGCUGUCUGAUGAUGCAUGACCAUGGGUGCUCUAUUGUCUAUUGAAAAGGAAAAAAACAGAUGGAAUUUCCUGUUUCUCCUUGUGUUGAAUAGUGCCCUGAGUUUGUAGAAUCUUUAUUGACUGGUCAUACUAUGGUUUCUUUCCCCUUUUCCU